rnacentral:rRNA from 1 species
GACGAACGCUGGCGGCGUGCUUAACACAUGCAAGUCGAACGGUGAUGCUCCAGCUUGCUGGAGUGGAUCAGUGGCGAACGGGUGAGUAACACGUGAGCAACCUGCCCCAGACUCUGGAAUAAGCGCUGGAAACGGCGUCUAAUACUGGAUACGAAACUGGCCCGCAUGGGCAUGGUUUGGAAAGUUUUUCGGUUUGGGAUGGGCUCGCGGCCUAUCAGCUUGUUGGUGAGGUAAUGGCUCACCAAGGCGACGACGGGUAGCCGGCCUGAGAGGGCGACCGGCCACACUGGGACUGAGACACGGCCCAGACUCCUACGGGAGGCAGCAGUGGGGAAUGUUGCACAAUGGGCGAAAGCCUGAUGCAGCGACGCCGCGUGAGGGAUGACGGCCUUCGGGUUGUAAACCUCUUUCAGCAGGGAAGAAGCGAAAGUGACGGUACCUGCAGAAGAAGCACCGGCUAACUACGUG